rnacentral:sRNA from 1 species
UGCUUCUGGAGGGGACAUGCCGGUGGUUCUCAUAGCAACCAGCACCAAAUGAAAGAGUACACGUCAUGGAAAUCACCUGCUAAGAAGCUGACUAAUGCAUUAAGCAAGUCCCUGAGCUGUGCUUCCAGCCGUGAACCUUUGCACCCCAUGUUCCCAGAUCAGCCUGAGAAGCCACUCAACUUGGCUCACAUCGUGCCUCCCAGACCUGUAACCAGCAUGAACGACACCCUGUUCUCCCACUCUGUUCCCUCCUCAGGAAGUCCUUUUAUUACCAGGAGGUUACCUGAGGGGAUAAGUGCCUCCAGCCCUGUGGCUGAAGAGCAUUCCCUCAUAAAGCUGUACGUAAAUCAGCUUGAUCACGGUGCACGCUCUCCUCCCAAGGACAGUGAAGUAGAGCAGAACAAACUGCUGGCUAGGGCUGCUCCAGCUUUUCUGAAGGGCAAAGGGAUACAGUACAGCCUGAAUGUGGCAGACAGGCUAGCUGAUGAACAUGUUCUCAUCGGGUUGUAUGUCAACAUGCUCCGGAACAACCCCUCAUGCAUGCUUGAGAGUUCAAACCGGCUUGAUGAAGAACACAGGCUAAUUGCCAGGUAUGCGGCAAGGCUGGCAGCAGAGUCCUCUUCGUCUCAGCCACCUCAGCAGAGAAGUGCUCCUGACAUCUCUUUCACCAUCGAUGCGAAUAAGCAGCAAAGGCAGCUGAUUGCUGAGCUAGAAAACAAGAACAGAGAAAUCUUACAGGAGAUCCAGAGACUUCGG